GACGAACGCUGGCGGCGUGCUUAACACAUGCAAGUCGAGCGAGAAACCUUCGGGUUUCUAGCGGCGGACGGGUGAGUAACACGUGGGUAACCUGCCUCAAAGAGGGGAAUAGCCUCCCGAAAGGGAGAUUAAUACCGCAUAAUAUUACAGCUUCGCAUGAAGCAGUAAUUAAAGGAGUAAUCCGCUUUGAGAUGGACCCGCGGCGCAUUAGCUAGUUGGAGAGGUAACGGCUCACCAAGGCGACGAUGCGUAGCCGACCUGAGAGGGUGAUCGGCCACAUUGGAACUGAGACACGGUCCAGACUCCUACGGGAGGCAGCAGUGGGGAAUAUUGCACAAUGGGCGAAAGCCUGAUGCAGCAACGCCGCGUGAGUGAUGACGGUCUUCGGAUUGUAAAGCUCUGUCUUUUGGGACGAUAAUGACGGUACCAAAGGAGGAAGCCACGGCUAACUACGUGCCAG
rnacentral:rRNA from 1 species